UACGGAGGAUCCGAGCGUUAUCCGGAUUUAUUGGGUUUAAAGGGAGCGUAGGUUGACGUAUAAGUCAGCUGUGAAAGUUUACGGCUCAACCGUGAAAUUGCAGUUGAUACUGUAUGUCUUGAGUGUACAAGAGGUGGGCGGAAUUCGUGGUGUAGCGGUGAAAUGCUUAGAUAUCACGAAGAACUCCAAUUGCGAAGGCAGCUCACUGGGGUACAACUGACACUGAGGCUCGAAAGUGUGGGUAUCAAACAGGAUUAGAUACCCUGGUAGUCCACACAGUAAACGAUGAAUACUCGCUGUUUGCGAUAUACAGUAAGCGGCCAAGCGAAAGCAUUAAGUAUUCCACCUGGGGAGUACGCCGGCAACGGUGAAACUCAAAGGAAUUGACGGGGGCCCGCACAAGCGGAGGAACAUGUGGUUUAAUUCGAUGAUACGCGAGGAACCUUACCCGGGCUUGAAUUGCAGAGGAAUAUAGUUGAAAGAUUAUAGCCGCAAGGUCUCUGUGAAGGUGCUGCAUGGUUGUCGUCAGCUCGUGCCGUGAGGUGUCGGCUUAAGUGCCAUAACGAGCGCAACCCUUAUCAUUAGUUACUAACAGGUCAUGCUGAGGACUCUAGUGAGACUGCCGUCGUAAGAUGUGAGGAAGGUGGGGAUGACGUCAAAUCAGCACGGCCCUUACGUCCGGGGCUACACACGUGUUACAAUGGGGGGUACAGAGGGCAGCUACCGGGCGACCGGAUGCCAAUCCCAAAAACCUCUCUCAGUUCGGAUCGAAGUCUGCAACCCGACUUCGUGAAGCUGGAUUCGCUAGUAAUCGCGCAUCAGCCACGGCGCGGUGAAUACGUUCCCGGGCCU
rnacentral:rRNA from 1 species